rnacentral:ncRNA from 1 species
GAGUAGGGAUGCAGCUCCGUGGACCGCUCGUCGGGCCUGAUAGGUGGCGGCUGCAAGGUUCAUCCACGGAGGGUGAGUCAGGGCCUAAGAUCAGGCCGAAAGGCGUAGUCGAUGGACAACAGGUGAAUAUUCUUGUACUACCCCUUGUUGGUCCCGAGGGAUGGAGGAGGCAAGGUUAGCUGAAAGAUGGUUAUCGGUUCAAGGACGUAAGGUGACCAUGCUUUUUCGAGUACCAGGCGCUACGGCGCUGAAGUAACCCAUGCCAUACUCCCAGGAAAAGCUCGAACGGCCUUCAACAAAAGGGUACUUGUACCCGAAACCGACACAGGUGGGUAGGUAGAGAAUACCUAGGGGCGCGAGACAACUCUUUCUAAGGAACUCGGCAAAAUAGCCCCGUAACUUCGGGAAAAGGGUGCUUGCUCACAAAGGGGGUCGCAGUGACCAGGCCUGGGCGACUUUUUACCAAAAACACAGGUCUCCGCAAAGUUGGAUAGUCAAUGUCUAAUAGCCGCAGACAAUCUAUUUCUCAAUUUUAUGUGUUUCGAUUCUGAGCCCACAACUGCUGAUU